GAUGAACGCUGGCGGCGUGCUUAACACAUGCAAGUCGAACGGAAAGGCUCCUGCUUGCAGGGGUACUCGAGUGGCGAACGGGUGAGUAACACGUGGGUGAUCUGCCCUGCACUUCGGGAUAAGCCUGGGAAACUGGGUCUAAUACCGGAUAGGACGAUGGUUUGGAUGCCAUUGUGGAAAGUUUUUCGGUGUGGGAUGAGCUCGCGGCCUAUCAGCUUGUUGGGGGGGUAAUGGCCUACCAAGGCGUCGACGGGUAGCCGGCCUGAGAGGGUGUACGGCCCCAUGGGGACUGAGGGAGGGCCCAGUGGCGUACGGUGGACAAGGGGGGGAAGUAUGACACAGGGGGGCCACGCCUGUGGCGGAGGCGCCGGGUGGGGAAAGACGGCUUUGGUGUGGUAAAGUCCUUUCGGUGGGGACCAAGCGAAAGUGACGGUACCUGGAGAAGAAGCACCGGCUAACUACGUG
rnacentral:rRNA from 1 species